UUGACCUCGGAUCAGGUAGGGAUACCCGCUGAACUUAAGCAUAUCAAUAAGCGGAGGAAAAGAAACCAACAGGGAUUGCCUCAGUAACGGCGAGUGAAGCGGCAAAAGCACAAAUUUGGCGGUCCGGCGAGACUUCCAGCAUAGCAAGAUUCUCACGAUCCCGCUUGAUAGGUACCUGCUGCUUGCCGGCCAGACUACCGCCGUGACUUAUCAACGGUGACCUCGGCUUAGGAAGGGAUACCCGCUGAUCAUAGCAUAUCAAUAACCUGAC
rnacentral:rRNA from 1 species